rnacentral:rRNA from 1 species
UACAGAGGUCCCAAGCGUUGUCCGGAAUUAUUGGGCGUAAAGAGCUCGUAGGCGGUCUGUUGCGUCCGCUGUGAAAACUCGGGGCUUAACCCCGAGCCUGCAGUGGAUACGGGCAGACUAGAGGUAGGUAGGGGAGAAUGGAAUUCCCGGUGUAGCGGUGAAAUGCGCAGAUAUCGGGAGGAACACCGGUGGCGAAGGCGGUUCUCUGGGCCUUACCUGACGCUGAGGAGCGAAAGCGUGGGGAGCGAACAGG